rnacentral:rRNA from 1 species
CACGCGGAUAAUCUGCCCUGGAGUGGGGGAUAAUCUCGGGAAACUGAGGAUAAUACCCCAUAGGUGUGGUCUGCUGGAACGCUUCCACGCUGAAAGUUCCGACGCUCCAGGAUGAGUCUGCGGCCUAUCAGGCUGUAGUGGGUGUAACGGACCCACUAACCUACGACGGGUAGGGGCGUUGAGAGACGGAGCCCCCAGAUGGAUUCUGAGACACGAAUCCAGGCCCUACGGGGCGCAGCAGCUACGAAAACUGCACAAUGUGGGAAAUCACGAUGCGGGCAUUCCGAGUGCCAACGCUUUUGCGUUGGCUGUUCUCUCGCCUAAAAAGCGGGAGAAGUAAGGGCCGGGUAAGACGGGUGCCAGCCGCCGCGGUAAUACCCGCGACCCGAGUGGUGCUCAUUAUUAUUGAGCUUAAAGCGUUCGUAGCCGGCCGUGUAAAUCCUUGGGUAAAUCGGGCAGCUCAACUGUUCGAAUUCCGAGGAGACUGCACGGCUCGGGACCGGGAGAGGUUAGAGGUACUCUCGGGGUAGGGGUAAAAUCCUGUAAUCCUGAGAGGACCACCAGUGGCGAAGGCGUCUA